AAACAAGGAGAGAAGAAAGAAAAAUGAGACAUGUUAUGUUUCUGUCUGCAGCAUGAUUCCCGUCAUGAAUUUCUUCCAAUCAGGCUGAGGUUACAGCUCUGAUAGGCCCUGAUUGUGCAGCUUUCAAGAUGACUUUGAAGCAACACGCUACCUUCCAGCACACGCCAAAAUGGAGCCCUUGGGUAAAGAACAAAGAGAGAAGACAUCAGUAUCAAAGUAAUGAUAGAGGGAGGAAUUGAGAACAUGGAAGAAAAGCUAAAGUGAGAGUUUCCUUAUUCUCAAAAUCUAAAAAAAAAAAAAAAAGUUUUAAAUAGUAUCUGUUGAUAUCCAACUAUUGACAACAUGGACUUCAUCUUUCUCCAUCAACCCACACCUCUGUACCUGUCCUCAUCCCAGCCUCUUCACCGUUUGAACAUAUGUAUGCCAAAUAUUUAACUAACUUUUGUUAUUGGCUAAGUUGGCUAAGUCAAAUACUUAAUAUUUACAUUUUUCUAAUUGUGGAUAUUGCUUAUAGCUAAAUUAUGUAAUGUACUAUAAUAUAUUUCUAAUUAUUUAAAAAACUUCAUUGUUGUAGCUGUAUUUCUUCCCUUGAGUUUUCUAUGAACCUGUUACUUAAUUGUUCUUAAAUUCUUUGCUAAAAGUAAAAAAUCCUUCAAUGUGUUUAUAACCCAUGGAAACCCACCCUGAAUGCUUCUAGAAAUUUCUAUGUGUCUCCAAUGUUCUGAAAUUUCAUGUGAUUUAGUGUAAAAUACUUUUCCAACCAUUAUGACAAGCACUUGAUAGGCUUAAUAAAUU